rnacentral:rRNA from 1 species
UACGAAGGUGGCAAGCGUUACUCGGAAUUACUAGGCGUAAAGGGCAGGUAGGUGGUCUGAUAAGUCUGUUGUGAAAGCUCCCGGCUUAACUGGGAGAGGUCAACAGAAACUAUCAGGCUUGAGUAUAGGAGAGGGUACUGGAAUUCCCGGUGUAGCGGUGAAAUGCGCAGAUAUCGGGAGGAACACCAAUGGCGAAAGCAGGUACCUGGACUAUUACUGACACUCAGCUGCGAAAGCUAGGGGAGCAAACAGG